AGAGUUUGAUCAUGGCUCAGAUUGAACGCUGGCGGCAGGCCUAACACAUGCAAGUCGAACGGUAACAGGAAACAGCUUGCUGUUUCGCUGACGAGUGGCGGACGGGUGAGUAAUGUCUGGGAAACUGCCUGAUGGAGGGGGAUAACUACUGGAAACGGUAGCUAAUACCGCAUAACGUCGCAAGACCAAAGAGGGGGACCUUCGGGCCUCUUGCCAUCGGAUGUGCCCAGAUGGGAUUAGCUAGUAGGUGGGGUAACGGCUCACCUAGGCGACGAUCCCUAGCUGGUCUGAGAGGAUGACCAGCCACACUGGAACUGAGACACGGUCCAGACUCCUACGGGAGGCAGCAGUGGGGAAUAUUGCACAAUGGGCGCAAGCCUGAUGCAGCCAUGCCGCGUGUAUGAAGAAGGCCUUCGGGUUGUAAAGUACUUUCAGCGGGGAGGAAGGGAGUAAAGUUAAUACCUUUGCUCAUUGACGUUACCCGCAGAAGAAGCACCGGCUAACUCCGUGCCAGCAGCCGCGGUAAUACGGAGGGUGCAAGCGUUAAUCGGAAUUACUGGGCGUAAAGCGCACGCAGGCGGUUUGUUAAGUCAGAUGUGAAAUCCCCGGGCUCAACCUGGGAACUGCAUCUGAUACUGGCAAGCUUGAGUCUCGUAGAGGGGGGUAGAAUUCCAGGUGUAGCGGUGAAAUGCGUAGAGAUCUGGAGGAAUACCGGUGGCGAAGGCGGCCCCCUGGACGAAGACUGACGCUCAGGUGCGAAAGCGUGGGGAGCAAACAGGAUUAGAUACCCUGGUAGUCCACGCCGUAAACGAUGUCGACUUGGAGGUUGUGCCCUUGAGGCGUGGCUUCCGGAGCUAACGCGUUAAGUCGACCGCCUGGGGAGUACGGCCGCAAGGUUAAAACUCAAAUGAAUUGACGGGGGCCCGCACAAGCGGUGGAGCAUGUGGUUUAAUUCGAUGCAACGCGAAGAACCUUACCUGGUCUUGACAUCCACAGAACUUUCCAGAGAUGGAUUGGUGCCUUCGGGAACUGUGAGACAGGUGCUGCAUGGCUGUCGUCAGCUCGUGUUGUGAAAUGUUGGGUUAAGUCCCGCAACGAGCGCAACCCUUAUCCUUUGUUGCCAGCGGUCCGGCCGGGAACUCAAAGGAGACUGCCAGUGAUAAACUGGAGGAAGGUGGGGAUGACGUCAAGUCAUCAUGGCCCUUACGACCAGGGCUACACACGUGCUACAAUGGCGCAUACAAAGAGAAGCGACCUCGCGAGAGCAAGCGGACCUCAUAAAGUGCGUCGUAGUCCGGAUUGGAGUCUGCAACUCGGCUCCAUGAAGUCGGAAUCGCUAGUAAUCGUGGAUCAGAAUGCCACGGUGAAUACGUUCCCGGGCCUUGUACACACCGCCCGUCACACCAUGGGAGUGGGUUGCAAAAGAAGUAGGUAGCUUAACCUUCGGGAGGCGCUUACCACUUUGUGAUUCAUGACUGGGGUGAAGUCGUAACAAGGUAACCGUAGGGGAACCUGCGGUUGGAUCACCU
rnacentral:rRNA from 1 species